rnacentral:rRNA from 1 species
UACGUAGGGUGCAAGCGUUAUCCGGAAUUAUUGGGCGUAAAGAGCUCGUAGGCGGUUUGUCGCGUCUGCUGUGAAAACUGGGGGCUCAACCCCCAGCCUGCAGUGGGUACGGGCAGACUAGAGCGCGGUAGGGGAGAUUGGAAUUCCUGGUGUAGCGGUGAAAUGCGCAGAUAUCAGGAGGAACACCGGUGGCGAAGGCGGAUCUCUGGGCCGAUACUGACGCUGAGGAGCGAAAGCGUGGGGAGCGAACAGG